rnacentral:rRNA from 1 species
UACGUAGGGACCAAGCGUUGUUCGGAUUUACUGGGCGUAAAGGGCGCGUAGGCGGCGUGUUAAGUCACUUGUGAAAUCUCUAAGCUUAACUUAGAACGGUCAAGUGAUACUGAUGUGCUAGAGUGCAGAAGGGGCAACCGGAAUUCUUGGUGUAGCGGUGAAAUGCGUAGAUAUCAAGAGGAACACCUGAGGUGAAGACGGGUUGCUGGGACGGUACUGACGCUGAGACGCGAAAGCGUGGGGAGCAAACAGG